UGAGGAGCAAAAUAUAAAGACCAGCCCAAAAGAAGGGCACUCCGUGCAAAAAAUUGUUCAUCUUUCACCUAACAGCCCUAAAUCAAACAGACACCAACAACGUUAACCUGCCACCCAACGUCAUCGCUGCCACCCCACUCCCCGUCACUUCCCAUCACUUCACCACCACCACAGCAACAUCCCACGAAAUCCGCUGCCUUCUCUUUUCUCCCACUCCAUCUCUGAAAGCUUGCAGGCCCAUGUGCGAUUUCAGCAGAUUUUAUGGUGAAUUUUUCAUCACCUCAUCUGUUUGAAAACGUCAAUUCUUCCCCCCUAUAAAUAUUCGUUUCUAUUAAUCCAUGAAGGCAAGUUCGGGAAUCGCAAAAAAUCCCUUACAAAAACAAGCUUGGGAGUCGCAGAAAUCCCCUUAAAGAUAUUAAGUUUUUUUUUUUUUUUGAAACCCCGAAAUUCCCCCCCAAAAAAUUGGGGAAUCGCUAAAGAAUUCCCCUACAAAAGGCAUAAGCUUGAACUGCCGGAGAAUGGAAAAAGUUCAGCCGCACAGAAUCUCCUUGAAAAAAAUAAAAGAAUUCUUUUCGCCGCCUCCAUUUUCCUUAAAAAGUGUUAGUCUACUGCUUUUUUUUUUUUUUUUGAUAUUCAAAGCACUGCUUCAUUUUUUAUUUUGCCCUGUUACUGCGUCGAAUCCGGUGUUCGCAAACUCGGGGGUUGUAGUGUUCGAUUGGAAUCGGAGAUCUCGCACGCACUUCGCUGCACCCAAGAAAGCCCCGGGUGUCCGAGUCUCUUUGAGCCUCGACUUAUCCCGGGGGUGCACAGGCCCUCGGCAAGGAGUUUCCCGCAAGUGCACCACGGUUAAUUCAGGGUUUCCCCAGUCCGAUGGCCCUCAAAAAUUGUUUGCACCCAGCGGGUUUCGAACUUGAGACCUUGAAAGGGAGCACCCCAAGGCUCAAGUCAAUUGCCACCAGGCCAACCCCUGAGGGUUUUCUUUACCCUCCCUUCUUUGCAUGACUUGGGGAUUCUCAAAUCCCAAAAUGCUCCGGAGUUGCUGCCUAACUUGAGAUGAGGCUGCUACUUUGUGCUGAAAAUUGAAAGGAGAGCAGUGGCCUGCUAAGCCUGUCGUUCGAACGACUACUAUGUUCGAGAGGCUCUCCUAUGCUGAUGUCUUAUUUCACUGUUUCUGUCCUUUGUUGUGACUUUGCUGCGUUUUGAGGCUAUACUUGCUGCUGCAAUUUUGGCUAUUUACACUGCAUUUUGGGCUGAAAUAUGCCGUCUCUUGAGUCAGUGGGUUGCUGCAUCUUUUGGGGCUGAAAAUGCCAAAUUCCUGAGUAAAUUUGCCACCGCUUUCAUGGCCGAAAGCUGCUGCAGUUUUGGCCGGACAGUUGCUGCAUUUUGAUGUCACAAGUUGCUGCAUUUUUGGCUGAAACGCUGUAUUUUGGGCCAAGAAAAAACUGCUGCAUACAGUCCGGAAUCGAUGCCACAUCGAGUCAGAUUUGUGCUAUUCGCUUCUUCAGCGACUCUUCUCGGCUCUUGAAAAUGUCUGAACCAAAGCAAAAAAAAAGGAGAAGAGGAGAAUGAUCGCGGCAUUUUAUCUCUUCCUCUUAUAGUUAUUUGUCUUGCUUUUCUUAACUUGUGGUUGUUUACCUUAUCUAGGAGUAUUAGGCUUAGAAGUUAGAACGCUUUAACUUUAGAGGGGUAGUUGGGAUAUUAUUUUAGCGAAAUCUUGAGGAGUAAUUUUUUUUUUUUUUUCAAAAACAUUAAUGGAGUUCAUUUUGAGGCUACAGUAAAGUUAUUUUUUUUAAGGGUACGUAAAACCAGAUUUUGUUUAAAAACGUCCUUUGAAAUCUAUGCAAUUUUCGCUCCUUGAUUCA